AAACUCCGAAUGCCAAUUAAUUUAACUUGGGAGUCAGAACAUGGGUGAUAAGGUCCGUGUUCGAAAGGGAAACAGCCCAGACCACCAGCUAAGGUCCCAAAAUAUAUGUUAAGUGGAAAAGGAUGUGGCGUUGCCCAGACAACUAGGAUGUUGGCUUAGAAGCAGCCAUCAUUUAAAGAGUGCGUAAUAGCUCACUAGUCGAGUGACACUGCGCCGAAAAUGUACCGGGGCUAAACAUAUUACCGAAGCUGUGGAUUGUCCUUUGGACAAUGGUAGGAGAGCGUUCUAAGGGCGUUGAAGCAUGAUCGUAAGGACAUGUGGAGCGCUUAGAAGUGAGAAUGCCGGUGUGAGUAGCGAAAGACGGGUGAGAAUCCCGUCCACCGAUUGACUAAGGUUUCCAGAGGAAGGCUCGUCCGCUCUGGGUUAGUCGGGUCCUAAGCUGAGGCCGACAGGCGUAGGCGAUGGAUAACAGGUUGAUAUUCCUGUACCACCUAUAAUCGUUUUAAUCGAUGGGGGGACGCAGUAGGAUAGGCGAAGCGUGCGAUUGGAUUGCACGUCUAAGCAGUAAGGCUGAGUAUUAGGCAAAUCCGGUACUCAUUAAGGCUGAGCUGUGAUGGGGAGAAGACAUUGUGUCUUCGAGUCGUUGAUUUCACACUGCCGAGAAAAGCCUCUAGAUAGAAAAUAGGUGCCCGUACCGCAAACCGACACAGGUAGUCAAGAUGAGAAUUCUAAGGUGAGCGAGCGAACUCUCGUUAAGGAACUCGGCAAAAUGACCCCGUAACUUCGGGAGAAGGGGUGCUCUUUAGGGUUAACGCCCAGAAGAGCCGCAGUGAAUAGGCCCAAGCGACUGUUUAUCAAAAACACAGGUCUCUGCUAAACCGUAAGGUGAUGUAUAGGGGCUGACGCCUGCCCGGUGCUGGAAGGUUAAGAGGAGUGGUUAGCUUCUGCGAAGCUACGAAUCGAAGCCCCAGUAAACGGCGGCCGUAACUAUAACGGUCCUAAGGUAGCGAAAUUCCUUGUCGGGUAAGUUCCGACCCGCACGAAAGGCGUAACGAUUUGGGCACUGUCUCAACGAGAGACUCGGUGAAAUCAUAGUACCUGUGAAGAUGCAGGUUACCCGCGACAGGACGGAAAGACCCCGUGGAGCUUUACUGUAGCCUGAUAUUGAAAUUCGGCACAGCUUGUACAGGAUAGGUAGGAGCCUUUGAAACGUGAGCGCUAGCUUACGUGGAGGCGCUGGUGGGAUACUACCCUAGCUGUGUUGGCUUUCUAACCCGCACCACUUAUCGUGGUGGGAGACAGUGUCAGGCGGGCAGUUUGACUGGGGCGGUCGCCUCCUAAAAGGUAACGGAGGCGCUCAAAGGUUCCCUCAGAAUGGUUGGAAAUCAUUCAUAGAGUGUAAAGGCAUAAGGGAGCUUGACUGCGAGACCUACAAGUCGAGCAGGGUCGAAAGACGGACUUAGUGAUCCGGUGGUUCCGCAUGGAAGGGCCAUCGCUCAACGGAUAAAAGCUACCCCGGGGAUAACAGGCUUAUCUCCCCCAAGAGUUCACAUCGACGGGGAGGUUUGGCACCUCGAUGUCGGCUCAUCGCAUCCUGGGGCUGUAGUCGGUCCCAAGGGUUGGGCUGUUCGCCCAUUAAAGCGGUACGCGAGCUGGGUUCAGAACGUCGUGAGACAGUUCGGUCCCUAUCCGUCGUGGGCGUAGGAAAUUUGAGAGGAGCUGUCCUUAGUACGAGAGGACCGGGAUGGACAUACCUCUGGUGUACCAGUUGUCGUGCCAACGGCAUAGCUGGGUAGCUAUGUGUGGACGGGAUAAGUGCUGAAAGCAUCUAAGCAUGAAGCCCCCCUCAAGAUGAGAUUUCCCAACUUCGGUUAUAAGAUCCCUCAAAGAUGAUGAGGUUAAUAGGUUCGAGGUGGAAGCAUGGUGACAUGUGGAGCUGACGAAUACUAAUCGAUCGA
rnacentral:rRNA from 1 species